AAACGGGUGGUAAUGCCGGAUGCUCCGACUCCUCGCAUGGGGUGUCGGGAAAGAUUUCAUCGGUAUGGGAUGGGGUCGCGUCCUAUCAGGUAGUCGGCGGGGUAACGGCCCACCGAGCCUACGACGGGUAGCCGGCCUGAGAGGGCGACCGGCCACAUUGGGACUGAGAUACGGCCCAGACUCCUACGGGAGGCAGCAGUGGGGAAUAUUGCACAAUGGGCGCAAGCCUGAUGCAGCGACGCCGCGUGCGGGAUGACGGCCUUCGGGUUGUAAACCGCUUUUGAUCGGGAGCAAGCCUUCGGGUGAGUGUACCUUUCGAAUAAGCACCGGCUAACUACGUGCCAGCAGCCGCGGUAAUACGUAGGGUGCAAGCGUUAUCCGGAAUUAUUGGGCGUAAAGGGCUCGUAGGCGGUUCGUCGCGUCCGGUGUGAAAGUCCAUCGCUUAACGGUGGAUCUGCGCCGGGUACGGGCGGGCUGGAGUGCGGUAGGGGAGACUGGAAUUCCCGGUGUAACGGUGGAAUGUGUA
rnacentral:rRNA from 1 species